AAACAUCCGGUCCUUUAACUCGGGGCUGCGUAAUAACCACCGAGCGCUUGGAAGACAAACGAUGUCAUCUUCCUUCUGUCAGGUGAGUAGUUUAUUGUUUUUAAAGAUCGUUACGAUCUAGGUUUACAGUCCGAGUGCUGAGACAGCGGAUGCGGAGUCCGUUGAUACACACAAUGGAUGCUAUUCUUCAGCUAAUACGCCAUUGAUAGCCACAUGCUACAGCCCACAUUAGCCUGUGCUACCUGGGAGGUGAAUACAUGGUUGUUGAAACCAGUUCAAGACGCUUAGCUCAUCAUUGAGGGACGCUACAAUAUAAAUAUAAACAUGAAUUUGAUUUAUGAAUGCUUUAGAUUAAUAAGGAGUGUAUUUCUCUACCAUUACUCCACAAUAGCAGGUCAAUUUGGUUUAAUGUAUAGUAUGCACUAUGACAAUAAUGUUUUCAUGUUAUGGAGUUGCGAUUCAUUUUAUAAAACAAUUGCUAUGUUCUGUUUUUUAAUCAAGGCGGAUCAAAGUGAAGCUACAGGAGUUUCAUUAACGUCAAUAACUUGGACCGAACACUUUGUUUUGCUUGAUGAAGAGCAGGAAGGGCAGCCUGGAGAGAAAGAGAAGCCGGGUUGAGCCCACUACCAUCAUCCACGUACCACGAGGAAGAUGAGGGAGAGAAAUGAUCCUACCAUUAAAGAGACUGUGAAAAGAACGUUGAGAACAUCACCACUCUACAGGAAGACACAGUCCAGUAAUGGGUGUCAGAAGUUCAGUAGUGAACGACGGGAAGGACUGAUGCAUUUACUGAGACGGGACGUGAGGGCCUACUCUGCGUGCUCAGAGUUCAAGCCCAGCAGGCUGCAGCGGGCCUGACAUAUUCUGGAACAGCAGCACAGUCUUUAGAUGACUCCUCUGAAGAUGAAAACAUGGCGAGUUCUUCUCAAGAGAAGCAGUACAGGUGUGCCUCAGCUCCACGGUCCCUCCUGCAGCCUCCGCUCCUGAUGCUAACCUCAUGUCUCCAUCACACCAAGCAGCAGACCUGGAUUGACAGACCUUUCUCCAGAGCUGCCCCCUCCCUCUGAAACCCCCCUCUCCAAAACACUAUUUGUGGCGUUUUUAAAGUCUUAUUUGCAUGAGAAUUGUUGAUCAUAACAUUUCCAGCAGAUGCCUUAAUAUAAUGUUUGUGCA